GUCAAGGGUGAGGAAUCAGUGUGGCCGAG
rnacentral:piRNA from 1 species